CAGCAGCCGCGGUAAUACCGGCGGCCCGAGUGGCGGUCACUCUUAUUGGGCUUAAAGCGUCCGUAGCCGGGUUGGGAAGUCCUCCGGGAAAUCUGGCCGCUUAACGGUCAGAAUGCCGGAGGAUACUCCCAGCCUAGGGAGCGGGAGAGGCCGAGGGUAUUCCCGGAGUAGGGGUGAAAUCCUAUAAUCCCGGGAGGACCACCUGUGGCGAAGGCGCUCGGCUGGAACGCGUCCGACGGUGAGGGACGAAGGCCAGGGGAGCAAACCGGAUUAGAUACCCGGGUAGUCCUGGCGGUAAACGAUGCGGACUUUGUGUCGGACAAGCUAUGAGCUUGUCCGGUGCCGGAGGGAAACCGUUAAGUCCGCCGCCUGGGGAGUACGGCCGCAAGGCUGAAACUUAAAGGAAUUGGCGGG
rnacentral:rRNA from 1 species